rnacentral:rRNA from 1 species
GAUGAACGCUAGCUACAGGCUUAACACAUGCAAGUCGCGGGGCAGCAUGGGGGUUGCUUGCAAUCCCCGAUGGCGACCGGCGCACGGGUGAGUAACGCGUAUUCAACCUGCCCUUCACCACGGGAUAACCCGGCGAAAGUCGGACUAAUACCGUAUGUUGUCCAUUGACGGCAUCCGAUUUGGACGAAAGGCUUGGCGGUGAGGGAUGGGGAUGCGUCCGAUUAGCCAGACGGCGGGGUAACGGCCCACCGUGGCUACGGUCGGUAGGGGUUCUGAGAGGAAGGUCCCCCACACUGGAACUGAGACACGGUCCAGACUCCUACGGGAGGCAGCAGUGAGGAAUAUUGGUCAAUGGGCGUAAGCCUGAACCAGCCAAGUAGCGUGCAGGAUGACGGCCCUAUGGGUUGUAAACUGCUUUUAUGCGGGGAUAAAGUGGCCCACGUGUGGGCUUUUGCAGGUACCGCAUGAAUAAGGACCGGCUAAUUCCGUG